rnacentral:rRNA from 1 species
GACGAACGCUGGCGGCGUGCUUAACACAUGCAAGUCGAACGGUGAAGCGCCUUCCUUUUUGGUGGGUGUGGAUGAGUGGCGAACGGGUGAGUAACACGUGAGUAACCUGCCCCCUUCUUCUGGAUAACCGCAUGAAAGUGUGGCUAAUACGGGAUAUUCUGGGUCUGUCGCAUGAUGGGUCUGGGAAAGAUAUUGUUUCGGUGGGGGGUGGGCUCGCGGCCUAUCAGCUUGUUGGUGGGGUGAUGGCCUACCAAGGCGGUGACGGGUAGCCGGCCUGAGAGGGUGGACGGUCACACUGGGACUGAGACACGGCCCAGACUCCUACGGGAGGCAGCAGUGGGGAAUAUUGCACAAUGGGCGCAAGCCUGAUGCAGCGACGCCGCGUGAGGGAUGGAGGCCUUCGGGUUGUGAACCUCUUUCGCCAGUGAAGCAGGCCUGCCUCGUUUGUGGGUGGGUUGACGGUAGCUGGAUAAGAAGCGCCGGCUAACUACGU